GACGAACGCUGGCGGCGUGCCUAAUACAUGCAAGUAGAACGCACAGUUUAUACCGUAGCUUGCUACACCAUAGACUGUGAGUUGCGAACGGGUGAGUAACGCGUAGGUAACCUGCCUGGUAGCGGGGGAUAACUAUUGGAAACGAUAUCUAAUACCGCAUAAUAUUAAUUAUUGCAUGAUAAUUAAUUGAAAGGUGCAAUUGCACCACUACCAGAUGGACCUGCGUUGUAUUAGCUAGUAGGGGAGGUAACGGCUCACCUAGGCGACGAUACAUAGCCUACCUCAGAGAGUGAGAGGAGACACUGGGAAGGAGACACGGCCCAGAGACCUACGGGAGGCAGAAGAAGGGAAUAUUCGGCAAUGGACGAAAGUGUGACCGAGAAACGCAGCGUGAGGGAAGAAGAGUUUCGGAUCGUAAAGAUCUGUUGUAAGAGAAGAACGGGUGUGAGAGUGGAAAGUUCACACUGUGACGGUAUCUUAAAAGAAAGGGACGGCUAACUACGGG
rnacentral:rRNA from 1 species